rnacentral:ncRNA from 1 species
UUUUCUGGAGAGCCCCACGGGAGUGGGCGCCGAAGGUGUAAGGUGCAAGCCGAUCUCUCAGGCAAAAGGACAGAAGUGG